UUUUUGGGCUAUAAAAGGAAGCUCUUAAGUGCUUCUCAACAACUCUUAACCAACCAAAAGCAAAAUCAUUCAAGAGAGAAGUUAGAAAGAAACGCUCAAGGGAGUGAGUGCAUUCAAGAAAAGAAAUCAAGGGCUUACAAGUCUCCCAAGCGAUUUCAAGCUCAACCACUCUCGUGUGCUCGGGAUUCAAAGCUCACACCCAACCCUACGCGUCCCACAUCGGAAGAAUCAACAUCUCCCACGCUUCCAACGGCAAAAAGAUUCUUCCGGGUUUCAUUGUUCAUAAGUGCUAUAUUUGCUUUCUAGAGCUUUUAUAUCCUUUUGUACACUCUUUUAUUGUGGUGCUUGUUCCAGUCAAGGGACUUGGAACAAGGGAAAGGGCGUCCCAAGCCUAAGAGAAAUUGGAGGUUUUGGGUUUGUUGUGAGCCCGGUGUAAAACAACGAGUUGGAUAGUGAACUCGCAAAACUACCGUACUGUAAUCUUGGAUUAUAGUGGAAAUUCCCAAGGCGCUUUGGGGAGUGGAUGUAGGAGCGGUGAAGGCUCCGAACCACUAUAAAACCGUGUGUUUGUGGUUGUCUCUUCUUAUCGCUUUAUCUUUGCUUUAGUUCAUAUAUUUGUGUGUUUUAUUUUUAAAUUAGCCAAAAAGUUUUAAAACACCCAAUUCACCCCCCUCUUGGGUGACCAUCUCUGGGCAACA
rnacentral:lncRNA from 1 species